rnacentral:rRNA from 1 species
GACGAACGCUGGCGGCGUGCCUAAUACAUGCAAGUAGAACGCACAGUUUAUACCGUAGCUUGCUACACCAUAGACUGUGAGUUGCGAACGGGUGAGUAACGCGUAGGUAACCUGCCUGGUAGCGGGUGAUAACUAUUGGAAACGAUAGCUAAUACCGCAUAAUAUUGAUUAUUGCAUGAUAAUUAAUUGAAAGGUGCAAUUGCACCACUACCAGAUGGACCUGCGUUGUAUUAGCUAGUAGGUGAGGUAACGGCUCACCUAGGCGACGAUACAUAGCCGACCUGAGAGGGUGAUCGGCCACACUGGGACUGAGACACGGCCCAGACUCCUACGGGAGGCAGCAGUAGGGAAUCUUCGGCAAUGGACGAAAGUCUGACCGAGCAACGCCGCGUGAGUGAAGAAGGUUUUCGGAUCGUAAAGCUCUGUUGUAGGAGAAGAACGGGUGUGAGAGUGGAAAGUUCACACUGUGACGGUAUCUUACCAGAAAGGGACGGCUAACUACGUG